rnacentral:rRNA from 1 species
UACGUAGGAGACGAGCGUUGUCCGGAAUUACUGGGCGUAAAGCGCGUGUAGGCGGAUGAGCAAGUCUGCUGUGAAAGCUCCUGGCUUAACCGGGAGUGGUCGGUGGAAACUGCUCGUCUGGAGGACGGUAGAGGUAGGUAGAAUUCCCGGUGUAGUGGUGAAAUGCGUAGAGAUCGGGAGGAAUACGUGUGGCGAAGGCGGCCUACUGGGCCGGGCCUGACGCUGAGACGCGAAGGCGUGGGGAGCGAACGGG